rnacentral:rRNA from 1 species
CCUACGGGUGACAGCAGUGAGGAAUAUUGGUCAAUGGACGGAAGUCUGAACCAGCCAUGCCGCGUGCAGGAAGACGUCUCUAUGAGUUGUAAACUGCUUUUGUACAAGGGUAAACCUGAAUACGUGUAUUCAGCUGCAAGUACUGUACGAAUAAGGAUCCGCUAACUCCGUGCCAGCAGCCGCGGUAAUACGGAGGGGCCAAGCGUUAUCCGGAUUUAGUGGGUUUAAGGGGUGCGUAGGCGGAUUGAUAAGUUAGAGGUGAAAUGUCCGAGCUUAACUCGGGAACUGCCUCUAAAACUGUUGAUCUAGAGAGUAGAUGCGGUAGGCGGAAUGUAUGGUGUAGCGGUGAAAGGCUUAGAGAUCAUACAGAACACCGAUUGCGAAGGCAGCUUACCAAUCUAUAUCUGACGUUGAGGCACGAAAGCGUGGGGAGCAAACAGGAUUAGAUACCCUGGUAGUC